rfam:Ashbya gossypii (= Eremothecium gossypii) ATCC 10895 mitochondrion, complete genome.
AUAGAUAUAAGUUAAUUGGUAAACUAGAUGUCUUCCACACAUUAUUUGUGAGUUCGAGUCUCACUAUCUAUA